rnacentral:rRNA from 1 species
UAGGGAAUCUUCGGCAAUGGGGGGAACCCUGACCGAGCAACGCCGCGUGAGUGAAGAAGGUUUUCGGAUCGUAAAGCUCUGUUGUUAAGGAAGAACGAGUGUGAGAAUGGAAAGUUCAUACUGUGACGGUACUUAACCAGAAAGGGACGGCUAACUACGUGCCAGCAGCCGCGGUAAUACGUAGGUCCCGAGCGUUGUCCGGAUUUAUUGGGCGUAAAGCGAGCGCAGGCGGUUAGAUAAGUCUGAAGUUAAAGGCAGUGGCUCAACCAUUGUAGGCUUUGGAAACUGUUUAACUUGAGUGCAGAAGGGGAGAGUGGAAUUCCAUGUGUAGCGGUGAAAUGCGUAGAUAUAUGGGGGAACACCGGUGGCGAGAGCGGCUCUCUGGUCUGUAACUGACGCUGAGGCUCGAAAGCGUGGGGAGCGAACAGG